rnacentral:rRNA from 1 species
UACGGAGGAUGCAAGCGUUAUCCGGAAUGAUUGGGCGUAAAGGGUCCGCAGGUGGCAGUGUAAGUCUGCUGUCAAAGAAUGAGGCUUAACCUUAUCAAGGCAGUGGAAACUACACAGCUAGAGUACGGUAGGGGCAGAGGGAAUUUCCGGUGGAGCGGUGAAAUGCGUAGAGAUCGGAAAGAACACCAACGGCGAAAGCACUCUGCUGGGCCGACACUGACACUGAGAGACGAAAGCUAGGGGAGCGAAUGGG